rnacentral:rRNA from 1 species
UACGGGGGGGGCAAGCGUUGUUCGGAAUUACUGGGCGUAAAGGGCUCGCAGGUGGCCAACUAAGUCGGACGUGAAAUCCCUCGGCUUAACCGGGGAACUGCGUCCGAUACUGGUUGGCUUGAGUUUGGGAGAGGGAUGCGGAAUUCCAGGUGUAGCGGUGAAAUGCGUAGAUAUCUGGAGGAACACCGGUGGCGAAGGCGGCAUCCUGGACCAAUACUGACGCUGAGGAGCGAAAGCCAGGGGAGCAAACGGG